GACGAACGCUGGCGGCGUGCCUAAUACAUGCAAGUAGAACGCUGAAGGAGGAGCUUGCUUCUCCGGAUGAGUUGCGAACGGGUGAGUAACGCGUAGGUAACCUGCCUGGUAGCGGGGGAUAACUAUUGGAAACGAUAGCUAAUACCGCAUAACAGUAGAUAUUGCAUGAUAUCUGCUUGAAAGGUGCAAAUGCAUCACUACCAGAUGGACCUGCGUUGUAUUAGCUAGUUGGUGAGGUAACGGCUCACCAAGGCGACGAUACAUAGCCGACCUGAGAGGGUGAUCGGCCACACUGGGACUGAGAUACGGCCCAGACUCCUACGGGAGGCAGCAGUGGGGAAUUUUGCACAAUGGGGGGAACCUUGAUGCAGCGACGCCGCGUGAGGGAUGGAGGCCUUCGGGUUGUGAACCUCUUUCGCUCGUGUGCAAGCCGCUAUUUGGGUAGUGGUGAGUGUAGCGGGUAAAGAAGCGCCGGCUAACUACGUGCCAGCAGCCGCGGUAAUACGUAGGGCGCGAGCGUUGUCCGGAUUUAUUGGGCGUAAAGGGCUUGUAGGCGGUUUGUCGCGCCUGUCGUGUAAUCCUCUGGCUUAACUGGGGGUGUGCGGCUGGGUACGGGCAGGCUUUAGUGCGGGUACGGGAGAUUGGAAUUCCUGGUGUCUCGCUGGAACGCGCUC
rnacentral:rRNA from 1 species